rnacentral:lncRNA from 1 species
CAUACAGAAUCAAGCGAUCAGCUGAGAAGGGAUCUGUCCAGUCGAGUCCGAACACUCGAAUAUAUUAUUGACUUGGCUGAAUAAACCGAGUGACUUCAAUAUAAUUUAAAAAGAUUUCGAAAUACAGGAAGAUAAGUCCUACCCUUAACUAAAGAAAAAAUAAUAAGAUCUACUGCAGCUAAUAAGAAAAAUCUACUGUAACAAACUAGAGCAAGUCCUUAGAGCAAGUGGCAAAAAGCUUGGUGGUUGGUACCCGAGGUCCCAAGUUUGAAUCCUAGUUGAUUCACAUUUCUAGCUAAGUAUAUUUCUAAAUGAAAUAAACGAAACGGGUAGCGUGCCACCUAUCUCUCAAAACAAAAAAAUCUCAAAACAAAAAAAAAGAGAAAAAUCUACUGUAACAAAUACCUAAAUUACAGUGAUCUUU